GUAGGUGAACCUGCGGAGGGAUCAUUCACAUGAUUACCUUUUCAACAAACUGUGAACUUUAUUUACUAUUCGUGUGUGUUGUUUGAUCUUCGGAUCAUUGUCAACAUCACACUGUCAUUCGAUGAACAUUAGAUAGCUGGCUUGAUUUUCGAAUCUUUCUCAACUGAUUGUUUUUGAAUUUAAUUACUCGAUACAAUCAACCAACAAACAUAGAAACAACUCUAUGCCCUGGAUAUCUUGGUUCUC
rnacentral:misc_RNA from 1 species